rnacentral:rRNA from 1 species
AGAGUUUGAUCCUGGCUCAGGACGAACGCUGGCGGCGUGCUUAACACAUGCAAGUCGAGCGGAAUAUCAGCAAUGGUAUUUAGCGGCGGACGGGUGAGUAACACGUGGGCAACCUGCCCUAUAGAGGGGGAUAGCCAACCGAAAGGUUGAUUAAUACCGCAUGAACCAGAAGUACUGCAUAGUAUAACUGGCAAAGGAGAAAUCCGCUAUAGGAGGGGCCCGCGGCCCAUUAGCUAGUUGGUGAGGUAACGGCCCACCAAGGCGACGAUGGGUAGCCGAUCUGAGAGGAUGACCGGCCACAUUGGAACUGAGACACGGUCCAGACUCCUACGGGAGGCAGCAGUGGGGAAUAUUGCGCAAUGGGGGAAACCCUGACGCAGCAACGCCGCGUGGAGGAUGAAGGCCUUCGGGUUGUAAACUCCUGUCUUUGGGGACGAAAACAUGACGGUACCCAAGGAGGAAGCCACGGCUAACUACGUGCCAGCAGCCGCGGUAAUACGUAGGUGGCAAGCGUUGUCCGGAAUUACUGGGCGUAAAGGGUGCGUAGGCGGACCUUUAAGUGGGAUGUGAAAACCCAAGGCUUAACCUUGGGACUGCAUUCCAAACUGGGGGUCUAGAGUGCAGGAGAGGAAAGCGGAAUUCCUAGUGUAGCGGUGAAAUGCGUAGAUAUUAGGAAGAACACCAGUGGCGAAGGCGGCUUUCUGGACUGUAACUGACGCUGAGGCACGAAAGCGUGGGGAGCAAACAGGAUUAGAUACCCUGGUAGUCCACGCUGUAAACGAUGAGUGCUAGGUGUAGGGGGUAUCGACUCCCUCUGUGCCGCAGUAAACGCAAUAAGCACUCCGCCUGGGGAGUACGGUCGCAAGACUAAAACUCAAAGGAAUUGACGG